rnacentral:miRNA from 1 species
UUUUCUUCGUCUUUGCGCCUAUG